rnacentral:rRNA from 1 species
AACGCGAAGAACCUUACCAGCUUUUGACAUGUCCUGGACGGAUUGCAGAGAUGCGAUCUUCCCUUCGGGGCCGGGAACACAGGUGCUGCAUGGCUGUCGUCAGCUCGUGUCGUGAGAUGUUGGGUUAAGUCCCGCAACGAGCGCAACCCUCGCCCUUAGUUGCCAUCAUUCAGUUGGGCACUCCAGGGGGACUGCCGGUGAUAAGCCGGAGGAAGGUGGGGAUGACGUCAAGUCCUCAUGGCCCUUACAGGCUGGGCUACACACGUGCUACAAUGGCGGUGACAGCGGGAGGCGAAGGGGCGACCCUUAGCAAAUCUCGAAAAGCCGUCUCAGUUCGGAUUGCACUCUGCAACUCGAGUGCAUGAAGUUGGAAUCGCUAGUAAUCGCGGAUCAGCACGCCGCGGUGAAUACGUUCCCGGGCCUUGUA